AUGUGAAUCUCUAGAUAGUAUAGGGGCGGAUGUAGCCAAGUGGAUCAAGGCAGUGGAUUGUGAAUCCACCA
rnacentral:tRNA from 1 species